ACAAUGUUAACAUUACAUGAUCAGUUCGAUACAUUACAGAAUUACAUUCAAAUGAAUCAACAUGUGCUAUCUGAGUUAAAUUUGUCGAAUGAAAAAUUGAAUGAUAUUUCCGCCAUUGCAUAUCUUUGUGGUUACGUGGGAAAACUUACAGUUUUUAUAUUGAAAAUUUAUCUAUUUUUAAAAAAAUAAAUAGAAAGAGGUAAAAUUACAUCCUGCUCCGUACCGUGAUACAUAUUAUUGAGUUGAAUUAAGCUUUAUGUAUGUACAAAUGCGAUCUGUAAAAUAACAAACA